GAACGCUGGCGGCAUGCCUUACACAUGCAAGUCGAACGGCAGCACGGGUGCUUGCACCUGGUGGCGAGUGGCGAACGGGUGAGUAAUAUAUCGGAACAUACCCUAGAGUGGGGGAUAACGUAGCGAAAGUUACGCUAAUACCGCAUACGAACUAAGGUUGAAAGUGGGGGAUCGCAAGACCUCAUGCUCAUGGAGUGGCCGAUAUCUGAUUAGCUAGUUGGUGAGGUAAAGGCUCACCAAGGCGACGAUCAGUAGCUGGUUUGAGAGAACGACCAGCCACACUGGAACUGAGACACGGUCCAGACUCCUACGGGAGGCAGCAGUGGGGAAUUUUGGACAAUGGGGGCAACCUGAUCCAGCAAUGCCGCGUGAGUGAAGAAGGCCCUCGGGUUGUAAAGCUCUUUUGUCAGGGAAGAAACGGUCUACUCUAAUACAGUGGGCUAAUGACGGUACCUGAAGAAUAAGCACCGGCUAACUACGUG
rnacentral:rRNA from 1 species